CCUACGGGUGGCAGCAGUGAGGAAUAUUGGUCAAUGGCCGCAGGGCUGAACCAGCCAAGUCGCGUGAGGGAUGACGGUCCUAUGGAUUGUAAACCUCUUUUGUCAGGGAGCAAAGGGCGCCACGUGUGGCGCUUUGCGAGUACCUGACGAAAAAGCAUCGGCUAACUCCGUGCCAGCAGCCGCGGUAAUACGGAGGAUGCGAGCGUUAUCCGGAUUUAUUGGGUUUAAAGGGUGCGCAGGCGGAAUGUCAAGUCAGCGGUAAAAUUUCGGGGCUCAACCCCGUCGUGCCGUUGAAACUGGCGUGCUUGAGUGAGCGAGAAGUAGGCGGAAUGCGUGGUGUAGCGGUGAAAUGCAUAGAUAUCACGCAGAACUCCGAUUGCGAAGGCAGCAUACCGGAGCUCAACUGACGCUGAUGCACGAAAGCGUGGGUAUCGAACAGGAUUAGAUACCCGAGUAGUC
rnacentral:rRNA from 1 species